GACGAACGCUGGCGGCGUGCCUAAUACAUGCAAGUAGAACGCUGAAGGAGGAGCUUACUUCUCUGGAUGAGUUGCGAACGGGUGAGUAACGCGUAGGUAACCUGCCUGGUAGCGGGGGAUAACUAUUGGAAACGAUAGCUAAUACCGCAUAAGCGGAAAUGUUGCAUGACAUUUACUUAAAAGGUGCAAUUGCACCACUACCAGAUGGACCUGCGUUGUAUUAGCUAGUUGGUGGGGUAGCGGCUUACCAAGGCGACGAUAAAUAGCCGACCUGAGAGGGUGAUCGGCCACACUGGGACUGAGCCACGGCCCAGACUCCUACGGGAGGCAGCAGUAGGGAAUCUUCGGCAAUGGACGGAAGUCUGACCGAGCAACGCCGCGUGAGUGAAGAAGGUUUUCGGAUCGUAAAGCUCUGUUGUAAGAGAAGAACGAGUGUGAGAGUGGAAAGUUCACACUGUGACGGUAUCUUACCAGAAAGGGACGGCUAACUACGUGCCAGCAGCCGCCGUAA
rnacentral:rRNA from 1 species